ACUGUCUAUGUCCUAGGCACUGCGCUAGCUGCUAGAGGUACAAAGGUGGAUGAGAUGUGACCACUGCGCUAGCUGCUAGAGGUACAAAGGUGGAUGGGAUGUGACCAGUGCCCUGAAGGAUAGGGUCCUGCAAAGAAAAAUGGCAAAUGCUGUGAUGGAGGUCUGCAGGGCAACUAGGGUGGGAGCACAAAGUGGGGAUGACCCAUCUAAGCUUAAAGAGGUCAGCAAAGGUGCUAAGAAUGUAGAAGAAGGUGAUGAGUGAAUUGAGGUGUCAAGGAAGUACAGAAGUUGUUCAGGCUGACUGAAGUGGGCAGGGGAAAUAGCUGGCGAAAAGAAAAAGAGGUUCAAGCCAGGUGGCAACUUCAGUUACAGACAGCACAACCUAUACUAUGGCUAUGGCAUAUACUGGCUAUACUAAAGUAAAUAGAGUAUACAAGCUAUCGCAAUGGGUGCAACACAGGAUUAUGUCAGGAGAUAUAGUCAGAGAAACAAGGCUAGCCAAGAUCACAACACAACUUCAGGUCCUAUUUAGGCUAAUAAACACAGGACUGUAGCUAUUGGAGCUAGAAUAGUACAUAAAUUAGUGGCAAUUAUUUAUGGUGUGAGGUUCCAUCUCCAUUCUCCACUAUCCAGAUCCCGUCUGAAGUUUCUAGUCCUAUAUAAGACCUUUGAAACCACCAAAAGUGAAGCAGAGAAGGGAGUCAGGGUGGCAAAGGAAUUCGAAAGCAUUUUCUUCUGGUAUGGUCAUGGAGACAGGCCUUCCUAUCCCCCCUUUGUAAAGGAAACAGCUCUAUCCUUGUCCCUAGGCUGUUUUUUCCUAAAGAAAGUUAUGGCCAACCAUGAGUUCUAACUAUCUGACUCAAGGCAGUUAAUUCACAGGCUCAUUUUGCAUUGACGAGCAGGUGUCUUUAGGUUGGGCUCUCUGGGAAACAGGCCCCGAGAUGAAAAUAUCUAUGCAGAAGGUUUAUCAUGGUGCACUGUCAGGAUCAGCAACCUAAGUGAUAAAGGAAGCAGAAUUGGGCAGAGGGCAAGGUUAACUUGCCAUACAGUUGAAACAGAGAUCUCAGCUGAUUCCAUGGGGAGUGCAGAAGUUGACAAGGCCCUUCAAAGACCUUUCAUACUUACGCAAAGGGCCAGACUUCUGUUCGUCAUCUCAAUCAGUCAUUAGAUGCAUUUUCUCCAGGGGAAAGAAAAAAAAUCCCCCAGCGUGAUCCAGCUGUGAGCUGUCAGCUGACAACCCUUCCUCUGGGACAUGUGGGUGCUGCAUCACUGCUUCCAUUGCAGAUAACCUGCUCUGGGAAGUUCUGCCCAUGGGAGAAAUGAUAAUUAGCCAGACUAUUCAGACUCCAGAAAUGAGCAGUAACAUAUGGCAAGGAUCAGCCAGGUGAUAUAAACAACUUGUUUGAUAGAAAGCAGGAACCAGGAGAAACAGAAUGUGUGAGGAGCAUGUUUAUCCCCUGAGAGAUGGUUGAAGAAACUGGGAAUGUUUAUCUGGAGGGGCAGAGAAGACUGUGGAGGGAUGUGAGGCCCACCUGUAAAUAGCUGAAGGGCUGGCAAGUGGAAGAAGGCUCUGGUGUGCUCCUCAGCACCUCAGGGGGUUGCAUUUUAGGUGGAGAGGGUCCCAACAGUCAGGGCUCUAAGUUCUGUCCUCACCUGCAAAUGGGGCUGCUGCUGACACCACACAGGUCUUUGGUGGGAGGUGGAGCUGAAGGCAUUGUCAGGACCGGAGCCUCUGCAGGUAUCCUGUUCCCCUAACAGCAGGCAGCUUCCUUGAUGUAGGCUGCAUCUGAAAGGUUAAUUCCCUCUUCUUUGGGCCAGUUCAAAAAUUGUAAGCAUGACUAUAGCUCGGGCAGUGAUUCUCAAACCUGGCUGCAUAUGAAAAGCUCUAGGAAGUUUAAAAAUAUAGUGCUCAGCUCCAGAGAAGUCAAAUCAUAAUCUCUCAAGAUAGGGAUGGGUCAUUUUUAUUUCUUAAGGGCUCCCCAGAUAAAUCUGAUAUGUAAACAAAGUUGAAAACCCUACGUCUGCCCUACUAGAGUGUUAUUUGACUGAGAGGAAAUGAGAAGGGUCAUUCAAAGGAUAAAUGAAAAAGAUUUCUGUUGCAUAAUGAGAUCAAUAGGAAAUGAUUAAUCCCAAGGGAGGUAGCCGUGGCAAAAUAUAACAAGCAAAUUGAUUGCUACAAGAGGAUCUGUGGCCCUAAUGCUGACUGCCUUGAAUCAGAGGAAGCUGAAGUUUUGUUUUGACAAUGUGAUCCAGUGCUCUAUUUUAGUGAAGUAUGUGGCUUGAUGGGAAUAGAGUGUCUUUAAACUUUCUCAUGUAACAGGGACUGUUCCUCUCAUAGACAGCCCUUAAGCCCUCUGGGGCUCUAAUAUACUAUCAGGUUGUCUAGGUAACAAAAAUAAAUUAUGUGUAUGGAAGAAAAUGUGGAAAUAUAGAAAUGUGUGAAUAUAGAAAAAUAUAAAGUAUAAAGAAAAAACACAAAACUUUUUUCCAAUUCCAUUGUCCAAAACUAGUCAUUUCUAUAAUCUUGCCAUAAUAUGCACAGGUAACAUAUACACUCCUUCUGUGUAUGUGUAUACAUACACAUGCACAUAUAUGUAUGUAUGUAUUUAUCUGUGUAUCAGACACUGUGCUACUAAGCACUCUUGAUUAAUUAUUUUGAAACCACAAAACAGUUUGAAAGGUUAUCUCACCUAGGAUGACAAUAACAGUUCCUACCUCAUGAGGCUGUUGUGUAUUAACAUUAGCUAAUACGUGGUAAAAUGUUUAAGACAGCGCCUGGCCUAUACUAAGGCCUUAAUAAAUAUUAGAAAGAGAAGAGAGAGAAAAAGAAAGAGAGGAAAAGAGGGAGGAAGAGAUGAGGAAAUUUACUCAUGUUAGAAAAAGUCUGAGAGGAGGUGAAGACACAGAGUUUGCUAACUCAGCACCAUUGGCAUGCUGGGCUGGAAAAUUCUCUGCCGUCGGGGGGCUGUCCUGCAAUUCAUAGGCUGUUUAACAUCAUCUCCAGCCUCUACAAUUCAAGGCCAGCAGUCUCCCCUCCUCAAAGGCAUCACAGUCAAAAAUGUCCUCAGACAUUGCCCUAGGGGGCAAAAUCACCUCCAGUUGGGAACCAUUAACCUAGAUCCAUCAUAUAUUAAUUCUUGUUCUUUUACGAAAAAAAUACAUUUUAAUCAAAUGCAUGUGUAAAAUAUCACAGUUGAGAUCCACAUACCGUUUUAUAUUCUGCAUUUUCACUUAAUGUCACAUCAUGAUAUUGCGCCUCAUCAUUAAACAUUCAUUAUAAAUGUCAUUUUUAGCGGCUGCAUUAUAUCCUAGCCUUCCAAUGUACUGUCAUUUUAAUGACACGAUAUUGUUAGAUAGGUUGUUUCCACUUUGUGCUCUUACCAAAAAGA
rnacentral:lncRNA from 1 species